UUUUCCAAAUCUAUAAGUCUCUACCUUCUCUAAAGAACAACCAGCAAAGAGAAACAAAAGAAGAACAAUUGAAAGAGGGGAAAGGAAGGAGGAGUAGUUAAUGGCCAUGGAUAUGAUGGUAUGCGUAUUCCCCUAAUC